ACGACCACACCCACUGGAGAACUCGGGAUCCCGUCCGCUCUCCCAUAGAUAAGCCAGUGAGGGCCGGAUUAGUAGUUGGGUCGGUGACGACCAGCGAAUACCUGGUGUUGUAUGUU
rnacentral:rRNA from 1 species